ensembl:lncRNA
CUGCGUUGGACGCACUGGGGCCAACCGUCUAUGAUCUGGCAUGCUGUCCCUUUCUGGCACUGGAUGUCACUGCAGGAGGGCUGUCGAUGGAUGCACUGGGGCUGCCCGUGUAGCAUCUUGCAGGUGAUCCCUUUGGGACACUGGAUGUCCCCACAGGAGGGUUGCCUGACGGUGCUCUUGCUUGGCACACACCGUGGCCAACCAUUGACCAUUUGGCACUCAGUUCCCUUCUGGCAGUAGAUGUCACUGCAGGAGGGCUGGUUCUGCACACAGUGGGGCCACCCAUCUGUCAUCCUACAUGAGCUCCCUUUGGGACACUGCAUGUCCUUGCAAGAAGGCUGCUUUGGGACCACCUUGGGUUCGAUACAUCGAGGCCAUCCAUCCACCAUCUCACACACUGUACCCUUGGAGCACCGAACGUCACUGCAGGUGGGUCUCCUGAUAGAGGUCUUGAUUUGGACACAAUGAGGCCAUCCAUCGACCAUCUGGCACACGGUUCCCUUCUGACAUUGGACAUCCUGGCAGGACGGCUGGUUCUGCACACAGUGGGGCCACCCAUCUGUCAUCCUACACGACGUCCCUUUGGGACACUGCAUGUCCUUGCAAGAAGGCUGCCUUGAGACCACCUUGGGUUGAACACACUGGGGCCAACCAUCCACCGUCUCACACACUGAACCUUUGGAACACUGUAGGUCACUACAGGUGGGUCUCCUGAUGGAACUCUUCAUCUGGACACAAUGAGGCCAUCCAUCCACCAUCUGGCACACGGUUCCCUUCUGACACUGAACAUCCUGGCAGGAGGGCUGGUUCUGCACACAGUGGGGCCACCCAUCUGUCAUUCUGCAUGAGGUCCCUUUUGGGCACUGCAUGUCCCUGCAUGAAGGUUGCCUUGGGGCCACCUUGGGUUGAAGACACUGAGGCCAUCCAUCCACCAUCUGACACACCGUCCCCUUGGAGCACCGAACAUCACUACAGGUGGGUCUCCUGAUAGAGGUCUUGAUUUGGACACAAUGAGGCCAUCCAUCCACCAUCUGGCACACAGUUCCCUUCUGACAUUGGACGUCCUGGCAGGAGGGCUGGUUCUGCACACAGUGGGGCCACCCAUCUGUCAUCCUACACGAGGCCCCCUUGGGACACUGCAUGUCCUUGCAAGAAGGCUGCCUUUGGGCCACCUUGAGUUGAACACAUUGAGGCCAUCCAUCCACCAUCUGACACACUGAACCUUUGGAGCACCGAACGUCACUACAGGUGGGUCUCCUGAUGGAAGACUUUGUCUGGACACACUGAGGCCAACCAUUGACCAUCAGACACUCCGUUCCCUUCUGACAUUGGACAUCCUGGCAGGAGGGCUGGUUCUGCACACAGUGGGGCCAUCCAUCUCUUAUCCUACAUGAG